rnacentral:rRNA from 1 species
ACAGAGAAGAGUUUGAUCCUGGCUCAGGAUGAACGCUAGCGAUAGGCCUAACACAUGCAAGUCGAGGGGCAUCACGUUAAGGUGGCGACCGGCGCACGGGUGAGUAACACGUAUGCAACCUG